GGGGGUAUAGCUCAGUGGUAGAGUGUUUGACUGCAGAUCAAACAGGCCUUGGUUCAACUCCAAAUGCCCCCU